UCUCUAUCUCUCUCUCUCUGUCUCUCUCUGUCUCUCUCUCUCUCUCUCUCUCUCUCUCUGCCUCUCUCUGUCUCGUGCUUGCGCCAGCACUGCGAUCUCUUCUAAAAGGCCUACUGUCUUCAAUAUUGUUGAAAUGACUGAUCAGCAAGAUAACUGGGAAGCAGAAGAUGCUAUUUUCCUUGCUGAUAUGCUUCUGGCUCAAGAAAAAGAAAAGAAAGCCAAGGGCGAAGCAGACUCUGCUACAGGCAGUACUUUUC